GAGCACCCCUUCUCUCUUUACACCAAUUGGCCACUGCCAGGGGAUGAAGAGGGAUGAUGUUGACAAUUCAAGACUAUUUCUUACCCUCUUCAGUGCCUGUUUCCUUAAUAUGAUAAUAAACCAGGUACUGCGAUCACUCACCUGAUUAUUGGUUCUUAUGAAGGUGCUUUUUUAAUGUAGUUGUUCAGUUUGAUAUUUCUGUCGGAGGGAUGACUGCUGGAGGAUUCUAUUAAGCCAUCUUGCUCUGCCUUCUUGCAACACAUAAAAUUCAACAGUUUUGUGCAACUUUUGCCAGACUAGUCAAAGAAUCCUGCGUCAAAAUCAAGAGAACGAACAAGCCUUCAUUGCCAUGGCACAUUUAUUAUAAAAAGAAAGGGAGAGAUGUUGCGGGAAGUCAGGGACCCCGAACGGAGGGACCAGCUGAAGCCAUGGCAGAAGAACAUAAAUUGUGAAGAUUUCAUGGACAUUUAUUAGUUCCCCAAUCAAUACCCUUGUGAUUUCCUAUGCCUGUCUUUACUUUAAUCUCUUAAUCCCGUCAUCUUCGUAAACUGAGGAGGAUGUAUGUCGCCUCAGGACCCUGUGAUGAUUGUGUUAACUGCACAAAUUGUAGAGCAUUUGUGUUUGAACAAUAUGAAAUCUGGGCACCUUGAAAAAAGAACAGGAUUAACAGUGAUGUUCACAGAACAAGAGAGAUAACCUUAAACUCUGACUGCCGGUGAGCUGGACGGAACAGAGCCAUAUUUCUCUUCUUUCAAAAGCAAAUGGGAGAAAUAUCACUGAAUUCUUUUUCUCAGCAAGGAACAUCCGUGAGAAAGAGAAUGCAUCCCUGAGGGUAGGCCUCUGAAAUGGCUGCUUCGGGGCAGCUGUCUUUUAUGGUUGCAGCUGUAGGGAUGAAAUAAGCCCCAGUUUCCCAUAGCGCUCCCAGGCUUAUUAGGACGAGGAAAUUCCCGCCUAAUAAAUUUUGGUCAGACCAGUUGUCUGCUCUCAACCCUGUCUCCUGAUAAGAUGUUAUCAAUGACAAUGCAUGCCUGAAACUUCAUUAGCAAUUUUAAUUUCACCCCGGUCCUGUGGUCCUGUGAUCUCGCCCUGCCUCCAUUUACCUUGUGAUAUCUUAUUACCUUGUGAAGCAUGUGAUCUCUGUGACCCAUACCCUAUUUGUACACUCCCUCCCCUUUUAAAAAUCACUAAUAAAAAAUUUGCUGGUUUUAUGGCUCAGGGGGCAUCACAGAACCUGCCAACAUGUGAUGUCUGCCCUGGACACCCAGCUUUAAAACUUC